UGGGGAAUAUUGGACAAUGGGCGAAAGCCUGAUCCAGCCAUGCCGCGUGUGUGAAGAAGGCCUUAUGGUUGUAAAGCACUUUAAGCGAGGAGGAGGGUACUGGUAUUAAUACUACCAGCUACUGGACGUUACUCGCAGAAUAAGCACCGGCUAACUCUGUGCCAGCAGCCGCGGUAAUACAGAGGGUGCGAGCGUUAAUCGGAUUUACUGGGCGUAAAGCGUGCGUAGGCGGCUAAUUGAGUCGGAUGUGGAAUCCCCGAGCUUAACUUGGGAAUUGCAUUCGAUACUGGUUAGCUAGAGUGUGGGAGAGGAUGGUAGAAUUCCAGGUGUAGCGGUGAAAUGCGUAGAGAUCUGGAGGAAUACCGAUGGCGAAGGCAGCCAUCUGGCCUAACACUGACGCUGAGGUACGAAAGCAUGGGGAGCAAACAGG
rnacentral:rRNA from 1 species